rnacentral:rRNA from 1 species
GAUGAACGCUGGCGGCGUGCUUAACACAUGCAAGUCGAACGGAAAGGCUCCUGCUUGCUGGGGUACUCGAGUGGCGAACGGGUGAGUAACACGUGGGUGAUCUGCCCUGCACUUCGGGGUAAGCCUGGGAAACUGGGUUUAAUACCGUAUAGGACGCUGGUUUGGGUGCCAUUGUGGAAAGUUUUUCGGUGUGGGCUGAGCGCGCGGCCUAUCAGCUUGUUGGUGGGGUAAUGGCCUACCAAGGCGUCGACGGGUAGCCGGCCUGAGAGGGUGUACGGCCACAUUGGGACUGAGAUAGGGACCAGACUCGUAUGGGAGGCAGCAGUGGGAAAUAUUGCACAAUGGGCGCAAGCCGGAUGCAGCGACGUCGCGUGGGUGAUGACGGCCUUCGGGUUGUGAACUCCUUCCGCUAGAGACGAAGCGGAAGUGACGGUACCUGGAGAAGAAGCACCGGCUAACUACGUG